rnacentral:lncRNA from 1 species
AGAGAGAGAGAUAUUGUAAUCGGUGCGAAAAGAAAGAUCUCGCAAUCGGAGUAUUACAUUGGCAAGAAGAUGGAGGUUCACAAUUGUAGCACUCGCAGACUUGUAGGUGAAAGAAGGGAAACCAACAAACUUCAUGCUUUCCAACCCAUCCACCACCAAAUUUAGGUGAACCAUUGCAAAAAACCAAAAAUCACAGCUUUCCAGCUUCUCCAAGAGGACAUCAUCCCCCAAGCCAAAAGGGGGAAUACAAUGGCACAUAAAAAACAUGAUCUUUGAACUUAAUUUCACUUCACCAAAUCCAAAUGACUCAUCUAAAGCAUGAGUAAGAAUCCCCUCUCUCAUGAGCAAGAAUCCUCUCUCUCUAGCCAACAUUGUCACUCUUUGUAUAUGAACCCGAUCUCAAAACCAAAACACAAGGAGGUUUUCAGGCCACUAAGCAUGAAAAGAGAC